CGUGGUGAAGAUAUUACUGAGGUCACACCUGUUCCCAUACCGAACACAGAAGUUAAGCUCAGGAAAGCCGAAGAUAGUUAGGGGAUGCCCCUUGUGAAAAUAGGUAUUCGCCAUGC
rnacentral:rRNA from 1 species